rnacentral:rRNA from 1 species
UUUAUUUAAAAAUAUACUUAUUUAAUUUUUUAUUAUUUUUAGUACCAUAAAGAAUUAAUAUUAAUAAAUUUUAACUGUGAAGGUUAAUUUAAAUAUUUAAAAUAUAAAAUAAAUUAAAAGAAUAAAUAUUACCUUUUGUAUCAGUGAUUUUUUAUUAUUAUAAAAUAUUAUUUUAUUCUCGAAUAAUUAAGGGUUAGGUUAAAUUUUAUAAUUUACGUUAAAUAGUAGGUAUUAAAAUGUUUAYUURGAGUUAAUAUGGCAUUCGAUUAAUUUUAUCUAGUUAAUUUAAAAUAAAUUUAAUUUAAAAUAAAAAUUAUAUUAAUUUUAAUAUUUAUAUUAAUAAUUUUUAUUUUAAUAAUUAAAGGGAUUAGCUUUUAAUUAAAAAUUAAUUAUAAUUUUUUAUAAUGAAUUUAUUAUUUAAUAGGCUUAAAGACAGCUAAUUUAAAAUUAAGUUAAAUUUUAUUUAAUGAAUAUAUUUAUUUUUAUAAAUUUAAUUUAAUAAUUUUUGAUUUAUACAUCUAUAGAGUAAUUUUAUUAAUAAAAGUAUAAGUAUUUAUUUAAAAAUAUAAAUUUUGUAUUUAAAUUAUAAAGUUAAAUAACUUUGCAAAAAAAAUUAUGAAUGUUUAACAAAAACAUUUCUUAUAGAUUAUAUUUUAAGUAAGUCCUGCCCACUGAAAUAUUUAAGGGCCGCGGUAUAUUGACCGUGCAAAGGUAGCAUAAUAAUUAGUCUCUUAAUUAGGGAAUAGAAUGAAUGGAUAAACAUAUUUUUACUUUUUUAGCUUUAAAUAAAUAAUUUUAAUUUUUAGUGAAAAUUCUUAAAUGUUAUUAAAAGACGAUAAGACCCUAUAGAGUUUUAUAUUUUUAUUAAUUUUUAAAUUAAUUAAUAUAUUUAGUUGGGGCAACUUUAGAAUAAGAUAAAUUUCUUAAGUAAUAUUUUUGUUAAAAUUUUUUUAAAACUUAAGUUUUAAAAUUUAGAAAAAAUUACCUUAGGGAUAACAGUGUAAUAUUUUUUGAGAGUUCUUAUUGACAAAUUUGAUUACCACCUCGAUGUUGAAUUAAGGAUCCUUUAUUUAGCAGUAUACAUAAAAGGUAGUCUGUUCGACUAUUAAAUUCUUACAUGAUUUGAGUUCAAACCGGCGUGAGCCAGGUUGGUUUCUAUCUUUAAUAAAUACUUAUACUUUAUUAGUACGAAAGGACCAUAAAGGUUUAAUUAUUAAAU